rnacentral:rRNA from 1 species
AACGAACGCUGGCGGCAUGCCUAACACAUGCAAGUCGAACGAGACCUUCGGGUCUAGUGGCGCACGGGUGCGUAACGCGUGGGAACCUGCCCUUAGGUUCGGAAUAACUCAGAGAAAUUUGAGCUAAUACCGGAUAAUGUCUUCGGACCAAAGAUUUAUCGCCUUUGGAUGGGCCCGCGUAGGAUUAGCUUGUUGGUGGGGUAAUGGCCUACCAAGGCGACGAUCCUUAGCUGGUCUGAGAGGAUGAUCAGCCACACUGGGACUGAGACACGGCCCAGACUCCUACGGGAGGCAGCAGUGGGGAAUAUUGGACAAUGGGCGAAAGCCUGAUCCAGCAAUGCCGCGUGAGUGAUGAAGGCCUGAGGGUUGUAAAGCUCUUUUACCAGGGAUGAUAAUGACAGUACCUGGAGAAUAAGCUCCGGCUAACUCCGUG